rnacentral:rRNA from 1 species
UACGAAGGGGGCUAGCGUUGCUCGGAAUCACUGGGCGUAAAGCGCACGUAGGCGGAUCUUUAAGUCAGGGGUGAAAUCCCAAGGCUCAACCUUGGAACUGCCUUUGAUACUGGGGAUCUCGAGUCCGGAAGAGGUUGGUGGAACUGCGAGUGUAGAGGUGAAAAUUCGUAGAUAUUCGCAAGAACACCAGUGGCGAAGGCGGCCAACUGGUCCGUACUGACGCUGAGGUGCGAAAAGCGUGGGGAGCAAACAGG